AUUGAACGCUGGCGGCAGGCCUAACACAUGCAAGUCGAGCGGAUGAAGGGAGCUUGCUCCUGGAUUCAGCGGCGGACGGGUGAGUAAUGCCUAGGAAUCUGCCUGGUAGUGGGGGAUAACGUCCGGAAACGGGCGCUAAUACCGCAUACGUCCUGAGGGAGAAAGUGGGGGAUCUUCGGACCUCACGCUAUCAGAUGAGCCUAGGUCGGAUUAGCUAGUCGGUGGGGUAAAGGCCUACCAAGGCGACGAUCCGUAACUGGUCUGAGAGGAUGAUCAGUCACACUGGAGCUGAGACACGGUCCAGACUCCUACGGGAGGCAGCAGUGGGGAAUAUUGGACAAUGGGCGAAAGCCUGAUCCAGCCAUGCCGCGUGUGUGAAGAAGGUCUUCGGAUUGUAAAGCACUUUAAGUUGGGAGGAAGGGCAGUAAGUUAAUACCUUGCUGUUUUGACGUUACCAACAGAAUAAGCACCGGCUAACUUCGUG
rnacentral:rRNA from 1 species